AGUAGUCGGUGUUGGCUGCGGCGAGGAGCGGUCUGCUGUGUUGCUCGGGGAGGCAGUGUGCGCCUGCGCGGUUCAGAUAAUUUAAGAGACAGCGAGUAGCGAGUGAGUUCUUGAAGUGCAGGAACCGUUAGCAGCGGUGUGGGUGCUCGCGGAAACAAGUGGAUAAAUGGAUAUUGUGGGUGGAUAACGGAGCGGUGGAAGUACCCGCGCGUGGCUGAGUGUGGAUGCAGGGUGGAUGAGGGCAUGCCAGGAGCGUGAGCGUGAGGCAACCACGAGUCCCCGUCGGUGACUCCUCGCGCGGGGGCAAAAAGAGUGAUGCUCAAUUAAUUACUGUGUUCGUGAUAAAGUUGAGUCACACGGGAGCCAGCCGGCAGCCACCAGCCAGGCCCCGCGCGCCGCGCAGCCACCCUCGAUACCCACAGUGCGGGCGGGAGGGACGCUGCCGCCCCACCCGCCGGGAUGUUUGUGUUUGUGUGCCCCGCGGGGGCGGCCCUCCGAGUGCCGCGCGGCAGCCUCCGGGGCAAGGUGGCCACAGGGUGAGCACCGCCGCCCGUGACGCUCCCGUGAAUACCUGGACGCCGGCGUGUGUGAACGAAGCGUGUGUCUUACCUGUACACGGCUUUAUCGAGGGAGCUGAGGACGCCACCGGGGCACGGCGACCACGGGAUGAGUCUGGCCUUGACGCUCCCAGAAUACCUGUGAAAACUAGUCGUGUGUUUACCUGCGGCCGCCCUGAGCGAGGGAGCCGAGGACAGGACAAGGUGCCCGGACCUUGAUGCCGCCCCCGCCGUGGCCCCCGGCGUAGCAGUGGCGUGGAUGGACUCCAGGACCACCAGGCUGAUUGAUGAGUUGCUCCACCACCGCCGGGACCACCUGGGCCGGCGGCGCCCUCCUCCACACAGGAUGAAGGUGAGCUGCGCGCCUUCCUGAGGGUGGUGGGUGGCGGGCGGGGGGUCUGUAGGCUGGGGAGGGGUGGGCCCAGGGCGCCUCUAAGGCGUAUUUUCUGCAAUACAGGUCGCGGGAGACUAAUAUUUGGGUCGCCGCUUCUUUACUUGUAAAUAACUUAAUACCAGACGACGGGACGCGGCUCUCAGUCCGGCCACGAGGCUUGCAUUGCGUCGCGAGGGCGAGGCUGUAAGGGAACUGUGUCACGUUGAAAGAAGCCAAAGUUUGGGGAUGGACAGUGGCUUGUUGGGUCUGGGUCUUCCUUCGCCGUCCCUAGCAUCUAACUCAGUCAUGAUACCGUUGUGAUUACGCUGAAAUAAAAGGUACAAAAACAUGCGUCGAUGGAGAUGAGCCCUUUUAUAAAUUAUUGACGGUGUAAUAAAAAAACGGUAAAAACAACACUUGGGUAAAUUUUUGGGCUUGUUAACACUCCGGAAAUUCGAUUUUAAAACUGGUAAAUAAAUGCUCCGUCAAAAGUUAUGAGUUAAACAACACUGCUCCGGGGUUGUUGAUGCUAAUGGCUCAGCGUCUAACAGGACAUCGCGGGCCCAAUUAUUUUGAUGACGGUUAUCUGGCGGGAGAGCGGCGCGUGGGACACCUGUGAGGGGAGUUAAUUAACCUGCACGACCGUCACCGCUUGGACUAAAAAGAAAACUAUUUACAUUAACCUUCCAAUAACCAACACAACACCAACCUUAUUAACCACCUGACUAAAAAAUAAAUGUCGAGAAGGAGAACAAUGAUUUGGAGAUGGAGGAGAAGUAGAAGAGAGAAAAAAGGAGGAGAAAGAUGCAGGAUUGAAGAAAGAAGGGCAUGGGAUAAAAGAGUGAAGGAAAAGGAAAAGGGAAAAUAGAAGGGGCAGAGCAGGACGAAUAAAAUUAGAAAGAGUUAGAAGAGGACGAGGAAGGAUACGGUGAAAAAAGCACCAUAUUAAACUACACCAGCACAAGAACGCCCUCAAGAUCAUACAGGCAAAAAAAAGAUAAA